CAGUGCUCUGAAUGUCAAAGUGAAGAGAUUCAUUAAAGCGCAGGUAAAC
rnacentral:rRNA from 1 species